rnacentral:rRNA from 1 species
CUAGAUGCAUGCUCGAGCGGCCGCCAGUGUGAUGGAUAUCUGCAGAAUUCGCCCUUUACCUUGUUACGACUUCACCCCAGUCAUCAGCCCUGCCUUCGGCACCCUCCUCCGCGAACGGUUAGAGUAAUGACUUCGGGCAUGGCCGACUUCCAUGGUGUGACGGGCGGUGUGUACAAGGCCCGGGAACGGAUUCACCGCAGUAUGCUGACCUGCGAUUACUAGCGAUUCCUCCUUCAUGCAGGCGAGUUGCAGCCUGCAAUCUGAACUGAGGCCGGGUUUGAGAGAUUAGCUCACUUUCGCAAGUUGGCUGCUCGCUGUCCCGACCAUUGUAGUACGUGUGUCGCCCAGGACAUAUGGGGCAUGAUGACUUGACGACAUCCCCACCUUCCUCCGGUUUAUCACCGGCAGUCUCCCUAGAGUGCCCCACUUAAGGAUGGCAACUAAGGACGAGGGUUGCGCUCGUUGCGGGACUUAACCCAACAUCUCACGACACGAGCUGACGACAGCCAUGCACCACCUGUCUCCGCGUUCCCGUAGGCACUCUCAACUUUCGCCGAGAUUCGCGGGAUGUCAAGCCCUGGUAAGGUUCUUCGCGUUGCAUCGAAUUAAACCACAUACUCCGCCGCUUGUGCGGGCCCCCGUCAAUUCCUUUGAGUUUCACACUUGCGUGCGUACUCCCCAGGCGGGAGACUUAACGCGUUGGCUUCGGCACUGCCCGGGUCGAUACAGGCAACACCUAGUCUCCAUCGUUUACGGCUAGGACUACUGGGGUAUCUAAUCCCAUUCGCUCCCCUAGCUUUCGUCCCUCAGCGUCAGGUUCGGCCCAGCAGAGCGCUUUCGCCACCGGUGUUCUUCCCAAUAUCUACGCAUUUCACCGCUACACUGGGAAUUCCCUCUGCCCCUACCGACCUCUAGCUUUUCAGUUUCCACUGCCUUUCCGAAGUUGAGCCUCGGCCUUUGACAGCAGACUUGAAACGCCGCCUACGAACGCUUUACGCCCGAUAAUUCCGGAUAACGCUUGCCUCCUCCGUAUUACCGCGGCUGCUGGCACGGAGUUAGCCGAGGCUGAUUCCUCAGGUACCGUCAGUUCUUCUUCCCUGAGAAAAGGAGUUUACAACCCAAAGGCCUUCUUCCCCCACGCGGCGUUGCUCCGUCAGGCUUUCGCCCAUUGCGGAAAAUUCCCCACUGCUGCCUCCCGUAGGAGUCUGGGCCGUGUCUCAGUCCCAGUGUGGCUGCUCAUCCUCUCAGACCAGCUACCGAUCGUCGCCUUGGUAAGCUCUUACCUCACCAACUAGCUAAUCCAACGCGGGCCCAUCAAACCCCGAUAAAUCUUUCCCCCGUAGGGCGUAUACGGUAUUAGCACACGUUUCCAUGCGUUAUUCCGUAGGGCUCGGUAGAUUCCCACGCGUUACUCACCCGUCUGCCGCUCCCCUUGCGGGGCGCUCGACUUGCAUGUGUUAAGCCUGCCGCCAGCGUUCGUUCUGAGCCAGGAUCAAACUCU